rnacentral:lncRNA from 1 species
UGAUAAAUCCACGAAAUUCCAUGUUUGAUUUUUAAGAAGUGCCAUCAUUUUCUCCUCCAUAGCCUCUUUCUAAUGGUUUGCAUCGGUAGCAUGAAUGGCUUCUUGAAAUGUACAUGGCUCUUCCUCCACAAUUAGUAUUCGAAGUGUAUUUGGGUCUACAAAAUCCUAUAGAUAUGUAGGUGUGUGCCGCUCUCUUAUUGAAUGCUAAGACAUAUCAUAUAGUUCUCUACCUUCGUGAGAACUCUCCUCUUCAUCGGAAUCUUGCUCAACUUGCUCUUCUACCUCACCAAACUCAAUCGGUGCAUUCU